rnacentral:sRNA from 1 species
GUCUCACUGACUUCAAGAAUGAAGCGGCGGACCCUCGCAGUAAAUAGGUUCAUCACUGUGAAGAUUUCUGGACAUUCUGCCACCACCUUGGUCUACAAGUGGCAUUCCCAAAGCCUGAAGCUAUCUUUGGCACCUGUAAAAUGCCAGCCUUUCCCUCCAUGCCUACCCAAAGUGGUAGGCCCAGAGAUGUCUUGAUCAUCU